rnacentral:lncRNA from 1 species
UCAAGUGGAUUUUUUUAUUAUUGUAUGACCACCCAUUUUAGAACUUUUCCAGUUCACAUUUCCAAUAUUGAAGGAAACUCCUGCUGCAAAAAUAGAAAGAAAUAUUUGGAAAAUCCAACUGAUUAAGCAUUAGUGUCUCUACCUUGAAGAAGGCGCAAGAGCAUGAGCAUGCUUGCAUUAAGCCUGGGUGAAAUAAUCGGACCCAUCACAGUGCCAGGAUUCACUACAACAACAUCCAACCCACUCUCCUUUGCAAAUUCCCAAGCUGCUUUCUCCGCCAAAGUCUUCGACAAUGGAUACCACAACUGUUGCACACACAAACACUUCACACACCAACACAUAUAAGAAAAAGAAACAGAAAAUGAAAAAAAUGAAACCCUUUCUAACCCCUUUUUGCUUGCAAAAUUCAACGUCAGCCCAGCAGUCCUCCCUCUUUGGAACAUCACCGGGCCAACUGGGGCUCGGAAUAAUCGCCGAGACGGAGGACGUGACCACCACGCGACGCACUCCUGCUUCUUUCGCUGCCGUUAAUACGUUCACGGUACCCUUUAUCGCCGGGUCCAGAAGAUCCUUCUGCAUGAAGACUCAAAUGGGAUGAUGAAAAAACCCAAAAGAUUGAAAAUUUGUGAAGAGAUCGAGGAAACAAGACCUGGGGAUCCGAGACUUGAUCAACAAUGCAGGGAGAGGCGAGGUGGAAAACGCCGGCGCAGCCGCGCAUGGCAGCGAGUACGGAGUCAUAGUGGAGGAGCUCCAUCUGAAAGAGGCGGAGGCGCUCCGACGCUCCAUCCAAGUCUUGUAGAUGCUUUGUCUCGGCCUCAUCGUCUGUUAGAAAAGUUGUGUUGUGCUGUGUAAGUAUAUAUUGGGAUGAAACGAAUGAAUAAUAAAAGUUUGGAAUGUGCUAACUGAGAUUUUGGACGGUGGCGUGAACGGUGUAGCCGCGGUCCAGAAGGAGGUGCACGAGCCAUGAACCGAUGCCGCCGCUGCCGCCGGUGACACACACCACCUUCUCCAUUUUGCAGCUGUAUUCUAAGAUGCACUACUUGAAGAACUCCACUGUACUAAGAUAAUGAUGACACGUGUAAGAGAGGAAGAAACAAAGAAAACGAAAGACAGCCACAGAAAGAACAGAGAAAAAAUGAAAACGACGUUCAGAUAAAAGGCAAAAAAUGACCGAAGCAAACAGUUCCAAACAGCAAAAUAUUAGGUUUUAUUUUUUAGUGACUAAAUUAAUAUUGAAUUAUAAAUUUUUAAAGAAUACUUGUAUAAUGUAAUUGUCAUAUUUCUCUAUUAUGUAGAAUUGUAGUGAAAUGGAGGUUAAAUAAUGGUGCCCAACUUGCUAGCUGAAGGUUUUAAAAGGCAAGGAAAAAAUGAUAGCAAAUUAACCGUCAUGUACAAAAAAAGUGGUGGUCCCACAAUCACAAAAAUAGCAUAUAAAUUAAAUAAAAGAACUGACACGUAGAGUUUAGUGUAAUUUGAUGAUUUAUUUAUAAAUUAUUAUUUAUGGUUAUUUUACUGAUUUUUGUAAUAAGUAUUUGAUAUAGUUUAGGAGAGGAUAUGGUAUGCUUUAAUAAGAGGAUUUGAGCACACUUAAGCUUAAAUGAGUGUAUAUAAGCAACAAAAGAAAGAAAAAUAAAUCUAUACAAUUGUUGGAUCAUUCCAAGACUCAAUCAUAGAGGAACACAAACUCAUAGUAGAUAAUUUUUUCUUUUCAUUAAUUUAAUUUCCAACUCAUUGAGAUAAUUAUAAAAGCGUUUCUAUCCAUAACAUUAUGACAAAAUGUAGAGUACACCUUAUUUUCUUAAUAUAUAUAAUUUGACUUUUAUUAACCAAGUGGGCUUCUUCAAUGCCUAAAUCAUUUUAAUAUUUGGCUCCAUUAUUGUGUACCUGUUUCUCAUUUUCUGGUUCUUAUCUCAGACCAACUAAAGCCCACCACGUAUCGUUUCCCAAUUUUUACUUUAUGCAUAUGGACCCGCUUUUUGUUUGUUGCUAUUUUACUUUAUUCCUUUUCAUUUUAUUUUUAAUUCAAAAUAUUAUUAUAUUAUUAUAAGUGUUUGUUAAGUGUAUCUUAUUUACUGUUUUUUAUUGUUUAUGGUUUUAAAGAAACUUUUCUCUUUUGUCAUACAUUCACAUGGGGAGUGCUCAUUUGUUUGCAUGAAAAUUGAAAUACUAAGAGUUGCAGAUGUACAAGAAAGAAAGAGUAGCUCUAAACAAAGAAUAACUUUAUUUUUUAAAAUAAUUUCAGUAACAUUCUUAUAACUUUCUUUUAUUUACAGUACUUUCAUUCUUAUGUCGUAAAAUUAGAAAAAGUAGUUUUUUAUCAAUCAAUAUCGAACGGGUGAGUCAUUUAGUUUCGGAAAUCGAUCAACUGCGUUAAAAUACAUUUAAUACACUCAAUAAAUGACUAUUGUUACAAUUAUGAAAACUUCCGACAAAUCAAAGUCAUAUUCCAUCGAAUUUGGGUGACACCCCCAAGAAAAUAGCUAAUAUUGAUUUAUUGAAGAUAUUCUCCAAAUAUACAUCUCUAUAAUUCAAGGAAUCCCCUAAAAAGCCACUUAACACUGAUAUUUGAUAAAUGCGGUUCAUCACACAAAAUGACUCAUGACUAAACAUUAUAAAUAAAUAUUUUACAAAAGAGGAAUGUAUGUUUUUUAUCAGUUUCACUAUACACUCUUAACACAAGGUACUCACUUGAUCGUCGAAAAAUCUUUUGCAAGUUAACUCCUAAUCGACUAUUGAGAAAUUGAGGAUAGGGAGUCUUGAAGUUUGAAGGAGUGAAGUACUAAGGAGCAAGGGAGGGACCGACAACCAAAACAAUUGUUACAGUCAAUCCCAUGUACUAUUUAUGCUCACUUUGUCAAUACAAGUACAAGUUCCAUCAUUUCAACGUGUGUAAGAGGCUUGACGAGAAGAUUUGUUGUAUUCGACAUUCCCCAAUGCGAAGAUAAUUUUUUUUUUUUAGUUUUAUACUUCAUUUUUGCACAUCAUUUUUUUAUGAAUUUUGUGGCUUCCAAAAAAAGAAAAAAAAUAAAUGAAUAAAAACACAGUCACCAUGAGCAAUCACCAUCACUUGAAAAUGAAGAAGACACAACACUCUCCAUCAAAUAUUGUUGGAAUUAAAAAAGAGUAUGGAAGUGGAGAAUGAAGGUACGGAGAUGCAAGGAGAAUUUGCCAUCAAUUUUGUGCAUAUGGGAUUACUUUUUGCAUCACAUUUUGGUAUCACCCUUCCUUCAUAGGUGUUUCUUUCUGCACCUCUACAUUUUUCUUCUUGCACCUCUACAUUUUUCUUCUUGCACCCCUACAUUCAUGUGUAAUUACAAAGUAUCUCUAAGACAUCUAAAAAAACCCAAAAGGAGCAUAUCUCACUCUUUCUUUCUUCCUUUUCUACAAUUGUUGUGCACCUUGUUCAAGGAGCGAACAAAGGACAAUAAGUGGUAAUGCAUUGGGAUGUUGUUGGUGGUUCAUUUUCUGAAAUCUUGAUGGUGGUUAGAUGAUUUCUAAGAUGACUCUGUAUUAAGAAAAGAAGAUAAGUAAUAUUAUUUUUUGUUUACACUGUAUUGAGAAAAGAAGAUAAGUAAUAUUAUUUUUUGGUUACAUAUUGGAUGUUUAAUUUUUUAACUAAUUUUGAAUUCCGUAAUGCAACUUUUAGGAUUUCAGAGACAAGUGAGUCCGUAAUAGAGCACAUUGAUCCAAGAAUUAACUAGAUUGGUGUAUUUGUGUGGUUAUUUACACUUUAUAAACAUGGUUGUAAUUCCUAGCUGUAAUGGCAAAUAGAAAACUCUUGUAGCAGCCAAAUGGAUCCAGACUUUUUUUGUAAAAAACGUGGUGCCCCACUUGCAGCAAACAGAAAAUAACGAGUAAAUAAAAAAAUAGGGUUUGCAGGAAAUAUAGAAAACAAUGAGGAAAGAAAAGAAUGGCAUGUGAAGGCACUGUAAGGAAGGGUGAUGCCACAUCGUGAUCAGAAUGAGUGGUUGUGAUGGAUGAAUGAAUAAUUAAGAUUCCUUCACAUUCUAAACAGUAUCUCACUUUCAUUCUCUAACCAUUUAUAGUAAUAUCCCCACGUAUUCUUUCUUCUUUUAUAACAAAAACAAAAACAACCACCCCUUUUCUCUUUUCUUUUUUAAUUUACUACUUUUAAUAUUAUUAUUUUAAUAUUUUUUUAUAUCAUUUAAUUAUAAAUCAUUCUUUUAUUCUGCUCUCCAUGUGAAUGUUUGAAGAGUAAAUCAUCUAGGUGUCAAAAAGAACAUUGACAUAUUGGUUUAUAAUUAAAAAUUCUUGAUUCUACAUAUUUUUAACUUUGAGUAGGAAGUUGAUGUUAUAUUAUUAUGUUUAUAUUUAUUAGUUCAAAUUUAAUUGAAUUGAAUAACUGAUUUUUUUCUUUAAUUUAUAAUAGAAUUAAACAAUUAUUAAAAUAAUUCAUAUUUAUUAAAACUAACCACACCAACAAAAGUUUAACGAUACAUAUGAUAGUGCCUCAUUUUAGAACUAAGAGGAAUUUGCAGCAAACAUGUGGCUUUUAGGACUCGUAUUGCAGCAGCAAUUAUGCAAGGAAUCCUUUUUUCUUCAAAUCUUCUACAGCAUCCUUAAUAAUCUCUUCAAUUGGAGUGAAUUGCAAACCCAAAUCCAUAAGUUUCGUUGAUGCAUCCUUCACUCUCAGUAAUCCUGGUUGGGUAUCUCGUUGCAUCCUUUCAAGCAAAAUCACAAACUACAUCAUUUACAAGUACGUUAUGCAUUAACAAUACAUGUAUGAAGUGUGUGGGUAACUUACUUAGGCACAUUGUACUCUGGAUAAAGUUCACCAACUUGGGCUGCAAAAUCACCAAAGUGAGAGAUAGCUUCAGCACACAGAUGCCUACCAACUGCAGAUUUGUUCUCAUACACCAAGAUAUGUGCCAAUGCUACAUCCUUAAAGUGGACCGAUCCCAUAAAAAUGUUCUCAUAUGUUUCAUCAGAACCUGCCACGCCACAUACAAAAGGUCACAAAUUCUCAGUAAUUCCCCUAAAACAUCAUAAAUUGGGUAGUUUCAUGUUAAUAUUCCGGUCAACGAUUAUAGAUUAUAUGGUAAAAAAUUUAAUAAAAAAAAAGUGUAGUGAUUUUCACGAAUUAUAAAUGUCCUACGCAUCUAUACCAUCGACCAAGUUGUAGCAGGUCUUGUGAAAUUAGUCUAAUAGUUAGGUAACAACAACAGUAGCCCUAUUCACAUUAUACCAUUUUAAUCAGUUAAAAAUGUAUGCAUCAUUCAUCACAAGAUCCCUAACAUGGUGUUAAAUAGUGGUAUGCGACUAUGACUUUAGUGGUUCCGUCCACAGAUUUGGACGGAUGAAUACAAACAGAAAGCAUGAAAAUCAAAAGUAAAAAAUUGUUAGAUUCUUUCCUCGCAUAGCUGUGAGGAGUAGCAAAGAAAGUUGAAUAAACAUUAUAAUCAUAUAUUUACAAUAAAAUAUAUAUUCUAUAACGGAUCAUUACAUAGUCUGAUGACAUAUAUUUAUCAAAUAAUCCAUUUUUUUAAUAAUAUAAUUGAUUAUGGAAUAUACAUGUUAUUAUAUUUUUAUAUAAUUAUUAUAUUAUAUAUAUACACUAAAAAAAAUAUAAAUAUAGUAAAAAAAAUAAUUAGUUGUUAUAAUAACUAAAUUAGAAAUUAUUUUAAAAACUAAAAAAAAUAAUUUUUAAAUUAGUUUAUAUUAUUAUUAAAUAGUUUUGUAAUUUGUAUUUAAUUAGCUACCAAGGUUUUAACUCCCAAUUAUUUAAUUUCUAAAUUUGGUCGUAAAAAUUUUGGUUGCUAAUUAAAUACUAAUUUAAAAAUUAUUUAAUGAUAAUACAAACUAAUUUAGAAACUAAAGUUUUUUUUUCUCUAAAAUGAUUUAUAAUUUAGUUACUAUAUCAACUAAAUAUUUUUUAUUCUCUAAACAUAGUUUUCUAUUUGAUGUUUUUUUUUAGUGAUAUUAUUAAUUGAUUAAUAUUUGUAUUUUUAUUCUAAACAUAAUUAAUUAUACAAUAUAAUACAAUGUAAUAAUAAUAAGUAGUCAAACAAUAAAGAAAUAUAAAAUAAUAAUAAUAAAAUAGUCUCUACCUUGAAGAAGGUGCAAAAGCAUGAGCAUGCUUGCAUUAAGCCUCGGUGCAAUAACCGGACCCAACACCAUCCCAGGAUUCACUACAACAACAUCCCACUCACUCUCCUUUGCCAAAUCCCACGCUGCUUUCUCGGCCAAUGUCUUCGACAAUGGAUACCACAACUGUUGCACACACAAACACUUCACACCCCAACACAUAACAAAAACAAACACAAAAUUCAAAAAAUGAAAACCCUUUCUAACCGCUUUUUCCUUGCAAAAUUCAACGUCAGUCCAGCACUCCUCCUUCUUUGGAACAUCACCGGGCCAAUUGGGGCUCGGAACAAUCGCGGUGAUGGAGGACGUCACCACCACGCGACGCACUCCAGCUUCUUUCGCUGCCGUUAGCACGUUCACGGUGCCCUUUACCGCCGGGUCCAGAAGAUCCUUCUGCAUGAAGACCCAAAUGGGAUGAUGCAAAAACCCUAAAGAUUGAAAAUUUGCAAGAAGAUCGAGAGAACAAAACCUGGGGGUCCUGGACUUCAUCAACAAUGCAGGGAGAGGCGAUGUGGAAUACGCCGGCGCAGCCGCGCAUGGCUUCGAGUACGGAGUCGUAGUGGAGGAGCUCCAUCUGGAAGAGGCGGAGGCGCUCCGACGCUCCAUCCAAGGCUUUUAGAUGCUUUGUCUCGGCCUCAUCGUCUGUUAGAAAAGUUGUGUUGUGCUGUGUAAGUAUAUAUUGGGAUGAAACGAAUGAAUAAUGAGAGUGUGGAAUGUACUAACUGAGAUUUCGGACGGUGGCGUGAACGGUGUAGCCGCGGUCCAGAAGGAGGUGGACGAGCCAGGAAGCGAUGGCGCCGCUGCCGCCGGUGACACACACCACCUUCUCCAUUUUGCAACUUAAUUCUAACACGAAAACGAUCACUAGAGACUUGAGAAGUCCACUUUGAAAUCAAGAGAAGAAGAAAGAAACAAGUGUAAUGAUGUGACGAACAUACACAUUUUUAUAGAAUAAUAUCACUUCAAUACUAUUAUUUUAAACAUCUAUACAUCCGUAUUUUAUUAUUUUAUUCAAUUUUUAUGUUAAAUUUCAUAAAAAAUUAACAUUAAAUAUAUAAAAAAUAUUACUUAAAAAAUAUUUAUUUUCUUUUUCAAUUUGAGUUUUUUUUUUUUUGAAGUUUUUACUCUUCUUCCAUUGAUAGUUUUGGAAUGAGAGAGUAUAAUGAUGAUAAUGAUUUUAUAAAAAAAUAUAAUUGUUUCUAAUGAGGAAUUGAAAAUAAAUGUUAUUUUAUUUGUUAAAUUUUAUGUAAAAACUUGAUCGUAUGUUUUAUUUUUUUCUUUUGUCUUAAAAUUAAGAAAAGAGUAGGAGAUGUGCAUAUGCAAUAAUAUUAAAAUAAAAAAUAGUUUUAAUUUUUAAUUAAUUUAUAUAAAAUAAUAAAAUAUUUAAUUAUAUUAAUAAAAUGAGAUAUAUUAAAUAAAGAUAAAAUAAAUUAUACACUAAAAAUCGAUUAUAAUAAAAAAAUUAUAUAUAGAUAUAAAUAUUUUUUUAUAUUAUUUAAUUUCAAAGUUAGUCUUUAUUAUAUAUAUUUAAUUGUCAAACUGUAUUAAAAAAAAAAGACAGGGACAGUAGAAUUAAUUUGACAGAAAACGAAAGACAUGGAAAAUUUGACAACAAAAAUAUCGAAAUCAGCAAUGCAGAAUUAAUUAUAGGAAAGUUGGUGAGUACGAAAACCAAUCCAAUUUUUUAAAGGAUCCGGAUUUUUGACAACGUACGCAUCGUAUAACUCUGAAAAAAUCUUAAUAUUUUAAUAGUGUGUGAUCUUCUGUCAUAUUGGAAUCUUUUUCUUAUCUUUUUUGUAGUUUUCAUAUUUUGAGGUUUCUUUCUUUUUUUUAAGCUUCACUAUGUAUUUGCAAAUUUUUCUUUGUGCACUGAAACAUUUAUUUUUUCUUCUGUAUUGUUUUUAUUUGAUCUCGGUUUUAUUUAUUGUUAUCGUUAUUCAUAAUAAUAUUAUUUUUAUUAAUACUAUUAUUAAAAUUAAUAAUAAUACUAAUACUAAUAUUAAUAAUAAUUUAAAUAAUAAAAAUAAUUUUAAUAUUACUACUAAUUAUAAUAAUAUUAUUAUUAUUAGUAAUAAUAUUAGUAUUAGUAGUAAUUAUAAUAAUAAUAAUUAUUAUUAUUAUAAUAAUAUUUUUUAACUAGUGUUAUUUAUUUAUCUUUAUAUUCUUACAAUUCCGAUUUAAUUUAGUCAAAUAUAUUCUUAAAGAAAAAAAAUAUUUAUUGUCAAACAUAAUUUUGAAUUGGAUUUUUUGACAUCAUUGUUAUAAUUUUAUUCAAAAUGAUUUUUUUUAUGUUUAAAUUUCAUAUUGUGAUUAAAUUUAGUAUGAAAGAUUUUAUUUAUUGAAGUACUGAGCAAUUGGACUCGAGUAUGAUUGAGGUUAAUCCGUUGGUCAUUUAAAAAAAUGGUUUAGGAAGUGGUGACCUAGUCUAACGGUUAGAGAGGAUGAUGAAUAAGGUGAAUUGAGUUUGUUUAUAACACAUUAAAUUUAUUAUUCACAUGAAAUUUAUUUUUCACAUGAAAAAUGAAAUCUAUUACUUUAAACAUGAUUGUUAAUAUGGAUAACAAAGACCUACUAACUAAUAAAAUUGUCUUAAAUCAUAAAUUAAAAUUAUUCUACACAACUACAAGUUGGAUUGAUUCGUUAUAAUAAUUGUACACGGAUAACAGUAACAUUAGAGAAAUUCAGCUUGUACGAGACUGUUUUCUCAAUGCCUUGUUUGAGAUUUUAUAUUUUGUUUGACUGUGUGGCUUUGUCGGUAUGGUAGACGUUCCUUGGUAGAAAGAGGAUAAAGUACAAAUUUGUAUAAGGGUUAGACCACUAUGUAGUGGUUCAUAUUUAUUAUUUUUUAUUGAUAAUAAAAAAACAAUUUUAUUAUCAUUUUAUUUUAUUUAUUUUGAUGGAUGUAUUACAAUAGUAUAAUAAAUUAUUAUAGAAUCAUAAUUUUGUAUUAGUUUUUUUUUACGUUCAAGUUAUAUUUAGUAUGUAUUUUUUUAAAAUAAAAUCAUAUUUAUAGAUUUUUGAACUUAUUGAAAUAUCGAAUAAAAUUAUUUGAAAAAUCUAUUAUUGAAUAUUAUAGAUCAUUCCAAGACUCAAUCAUAGAGGAACACAAACUCAUAGUACCAAAGGAUAACUUUUUUUUCAUUAAUUUAAUUUCCAACUCAUUGAGAUAAUUAUAAAAGCAUUUCUAUCCAUAACAUUAUGACAAAAUGUAAAGUACACUUUAUUUUCUUAAUAUAUAUAAUUUGACUUUGAUUAACCAAGUGGGCUUGCUGAUAAAAAAAAAACCAAGUGGGCUUCUUCAAUACCUGCAUCAUUUUAAUAUUUGGUAACAUUGUUUAUGGUUUCCCAAUUUUUACUUUAUGCAUAUGGACCCACUUUUUGUUUGUUGCUAUUUUACUUUAUUCAUUUUCAUUUUAUUUUUAAUUCAAAAUAUUAUUAUAUUAUUAUAAGUGUAUCUUAUUUACUGUUGUUUAUUGUUUAUGGUUUUAAAGUAACUUUUCUCUUUUGUCAUACAUUCACAUGGGGAGCGCUUAUUUGUUUGCAUGAAAAUUGGAAAUAAGGAGUUGAAGACGUACAAGAAAGAAAGAGUAACUCUAAAUAAAAGAAUAACUUCACUUUUUAAAAUAAUUAGUACGUUGAACCGUGGAACGCACGGGAAUUUUUUCAAUAUUUUAUAUGUAAAUAUUAAUAUUAAAAUUAAUAAUUUAAUUUAUUUAUAUAUAAUUUCAGUUAUACUUCCGUAUUUUUAUAUCUUUCUUAUAUAUUUUUAGUUGUAAUAUUUGAAAAAGUAGUUUUUGGAUCGAUCAAUACCAAAUGAGUGAGUUAUUUCACUUUGAAAAUUUAUCAACCACAUUAAAAUACAUUUAAGACACUCAAUAAAUGAGUUGCAACAAUUAUGAAAACUACCUACAAAUCAAAGUCAUAUCCCAUCUCGGUGAUACUCCGGGAAAAUAAUUAAUAUUAAUUUAUUGAAUAUAUUAUCUAAAUAUACAUAUCUAUAAAUCAGGGAAUCUCCUUAAAAAAUCACUUAACACUGAUAUUUGAUAAAUUCGACCCAUAACAAGAAAUGACUCAUGAGUAAACCCUUUACAAAGAAGGAAGAUACGCUUUUGAUCAAUUUCACUAUACACUCUUAACACAAGGUACUUACUUGAUCGUUGAAAAACCUUUUGCAAGUUAACUCCUAAUCGACUAUUGAGAAAUUGAGGAGAAGGAGUCUUGAAGUUUAAAUGAGUGAAGUACUGAGGAGCAAGGGAGGGACCGACAACCAAAACAAUUGUUACAGUCAAUCUCAUGUUAUAUCUAGUCUCACUUUGUCUAUACAAGUACAAGUACCAUAAUUUCAUCGUGUGUAAGAGGCUUGACGAGAAGAUUUGUUGUAUUUGACAUUCUCUAGUGGAAAGACAAUUUUUUUAGUUUUGUACUUCAUUUUUACACAUUGUUUUUUUGUGGUUUCCAAAAAAAAAAAAAACAAAACAAAAACAGAGUCACCACCGAACAAUCAUCAUCACUUGAAAAUGAAGAAGAUACAACACUCUCCAUCAAGUAUUGUUGGAAUUAAAAAAGAGUAUGUAAGUGGAGGAUGAAGAUAUGGAGGUGCAAAGAGAAUUCGCCAUCAAUUUUGUGCAUAUGGGACUACUUUUUUCAUCACAUUUUGGUAUCACCCUUCCUUCAUGGGUGUUUCUUUCUGCACCUUUAUAUUUUUCUUCCUGCACCCCAACAUUCAUGUGCAAUUACAAAAGUAUCUCUAAGACAUCUAAAAAACCCAAAAGGAGCAUAUCUCACUCUUUCUUUCUUCCUUUUCUACAAUUGUUGUAAAAAACGUGGUGGCCCACUUGCAGCAAACAGCAAAUAAUGGGCAAAGAAAACACGAUGACCCCACUUGCAGCAAACAGAAAAUAAUGAGUAAAUAAAAAAAUAGGGUUUGCAGGAAAUAUAGAAAAGAAUGAGGAAAGAAAAGAAUGGCAUGUGAAGGCAUUGUAAGGAAGGGUGAUGCCACAACGUUAUGAGAAUGAGUGGUUGUGAUGGAUGAAUGAAUAAUUAAGAUUCUUUCACAUUCUAAACAGUAUCUCACUUUCAUUCUCUAACCAUUUAUAGUAACAUCCCCACUUAUUCUUUCUUCUUUUAUAACAAAAAACAUAAACAACCACCCCUUUUUUCUUUCCUUUCUUUUAUUUACUACUUUUUUUAUAUCAUUUAAUUAUAAAUCUUUCUUUUGUUCUGAUCCCCAUGUGAAUGUCUGAAGAGGAAAUCAUUUAGGUGUCAAUAAGAACAUUGACAUAUUGGUUUAUAAUUAAAAAUUCUUGAUUUUGCAGACUUUAACUUUGAGUAGAAAGUUGAUAUUAUAUUAUUAUGUUUAUCUAUUUAUUAACUCAAAUUUAUUGAAUUGAAGAACUGAUUUUCUGCUUUGAUUUGUAAUAGAAUUAAACAAUUUUUAAAAUAAUUCAUAUUUAUUUAUUCCUUCAUACUAAUAAUAAAACUAACCACACCAACAAAAGUUUAACAACACAUAUGAUCGUGCCUUAUUUUACAACAACAGGAAUUUGCACCAAACAUAUGUGCCAUAAGGACUCAUAUUGCAGCAGCAAUUAUGGAAGGAAUCCUUUUUUCUUCAAAUCCUCUACAGAAUCCUUAAUAAUCUCCUCAAUUGGAGUGAUUUGCAAACCCAAAUCCAUAAGUUUCUUUGAUCCAUCCUUCACUCUCAAUAAUCCUGGUUGGGUAUCUCGUUGCAUCCUUUCAAGCAAAAUCACAAAGCACAUCAUUUACAAGUAAGUUAUGCAUUAACAAUACAUGUAUCAAGUGUGUGGCUAACUUACUUAGGCACUUUGUACUCUGGAUAAAGUUCACCAACUUUGGCUGCAAAAUCACCAUAGUGAGAGAUAGCUUCAACACACACAUGCCUACCAGCUGCAGAUUUGUUCUCAUACACCAAAAUAUGUGCCAAUGCUACAUCCUUAAAGUGAACCGAUCCCAUAAAAAUGUCCUCAUAUGUAUCAUCACAACCUGAGACGCAACAUACAAAAUGUCACAAAUUCUCAGUAAUUCCCCUGAAAAAUCAUAAAUUGGGUAGAGUUUGAUAUUUGUAUUCGGGUCAACGACUAUAGUGUGCAAAAAUAUAAUGAGAAGAGCAUAGCAUAAUCAAAUAAGUCUAAUACUUUUCACGAAGGCAUCAAGUUCUAAAUGCCCUACGCAACUAUAUACCAUGAACUAAGUUGUAGCAGGUCUUGUGAAAUUAGUCUAAUAACUAGGUAACAGAAACAGUAGCCCUAUUCACAUGAUACCAUUUUAUUCAGUUAAAAUAUUAUACAUUAUUCAUAAUAACAAGGUCCCUAACAUGGUGUUAAAUAGUUUUUUUAUGAGAAAAAAAAAUAAUCAAAAUAUUUCAAUUCAACCGUUAUAAGUCAUAACUAACUAGAUCUCUUAUAUUCAAUAAACAAGUUUCUAAAACAAACCCAAAACAUGACAAUCUACCAACAUGGUUUUCAAUAAUGGUAUGCAACUAUGACUUUAGUAUACAAUUCUUCUCAAAGGAUAUUUUCCUUUAAAAGAAAAAUUCCUUUGUCUUUCUGAGUGUCUCUCAGACACACCUUUCCAUGCAAUCAACGUUUCUCUAGUGGCUCAGUAAUACUUCUGUAAUAAUGCAGAAUAUUUCAGCACUUCUCAAUAUUCAAGAGACUCCUACUGCAAGAUUAGAAAGCAAUAUUUGGAAAAGGCAAUUGAUUAAGCAUAAGUCUCUCUCUACCUUGAAGAAGGCGCAAGAGCAUGAGCAUGCUUGCAUUAAGCCUGGGUGCAAUAACCUCACCCAAAACAAUGCCAGGAUUCACUGUAACAACAUCCAACCCACUCUCCUUUGCAAAAUCCCAAACUGCUUUCUCCGCCAAUGUCUUCGACAAUGAAUACCAC